GCGUUGCUCGGAAUGACUGGGCGUAAAGGGCGCGUAGGCGGAUGGCACAGUCAGAUGUGAAAUUCCCGGGCUUAACCUGGGGGCGGCAUUUGGGACGUGCGAUCUGGAGUGAGGAAGAGGGUCGUGGAAUUCCCAGUGUAGAGGUGAAAUUCGGAGAUAUUGGGAAGAACACCGGUGGCGAAGGCGGCGACCUGGUCCUUGACUGACGCUGAGGCGCGAGAGCGUG
rnacentral:rRNA from 1 species